rnacentral:tRNA from 1 species
UUGUAUGGCUUAGUGGUCAGAGUGCUUUACGGUUUCCAAAAGGCGCGGGUUAAAAUCCCGCUACAUAA